AGGAAUAUCUCAAUUAAUAUUCACACCAAGGGGUAAAAAAAAUAGUGAUAACAAACAAAAAAAUACACUAAGUCACAACAAAUCACUAUCUAAUAAAUAUAUAUAAAAAAUCUAGGGAGAAUUUAAAUGGAAAUGAAGUUCCACUCAUGUCAGCAAUUCCCACAUACUCCAGAAAACUAAAGGAUAAUAGACAACCAAUUAUACUAGAUCAUUUAGAACCAUCACCUACUACAAGUGAUAUAGUCUAUUACUUUAUACUUAUAAUAAUCAAAAGUUGGUUCCAAAGCUAACAUGUCAUCUAUGAUUAUUAGCCUAGGUUUCUCAAUAUUAAUUUUAAACAUCUAUCAUAUAUUGGUAAAAAAAUAUUGCCAACACAAUUUUGAUUUUUUCACUUUGAAGGAUAUCGACUUAAAUUUACAGUUUAAAAAAAACAUUUAUUUUUUAAUCUAUAGUUUUAAUGUGUUUACUAAUUAUAAAAUAUAUCAUUUAUAAUUAAGGCAAUAUAAUAUUUAUAAUUAAAGCAAUUUAUAUGUGUAAUACUAAUAUUUAUAAUUAAGGCAAUAUAAUAUUUAUAAUUAAAGCAAUAUAAUAUUUAUAAUUAAAGCAAUAUAAUAUUUAUAAUUAAAGCAAUAUAAUAUUUAUAAUUAAAUCAAUAUAAUAUUUAUAUUUUAAAUAAUCGCUUUUUAUUUGUAAAUAACUUCUAAAAGUAUAA